rnacentral:lncRNA from 1 species
UAUAGAACUGGUCAACCAAUAUGUGCACAGCAUGUUCUGAGUUGAAAACAGGUUCAACGCACCGAGUAUUCUACAGAGGCAAGUCUCACCUCGAGCAAAACUCACGGCCUGGAUUGAAUUUAGGGUGAGUUGCGUGACAUAAGGUGCAGGGUGGGCCAGGGUUCAGAUCUCCUAUGGUGCGACAGUGCAUGCUGGGAUGGGUGACACAUAAUCAUCUUAG